UCCAGGAGAUUAGCAUGACAGUCCACUUCCAAGAGCUGACUGGCAUAUCACUGAAAGAGAGUUUUCUCACUAAUGUAGAAAAAAAGGGAAAACACAGCAUUUCAUUUGUGUAGACAAGAGCAAAAGAGUUCGUCAGGCUGUCACCAAGUUGGAAAUUCUGAGAGGACAGUUGGAGGGCUGCUCAGAAGAUGUCAAGGAUAUGGUGCUCCUUCUUCUCUCCUACUUUGAUGUAAAAGAGGAGAACCUCUUCUACUAUGCUGAACAAACAUGUCUGGCAAAAGAAGUAUAAGUGACAAGUGGAAAGCUUGGCUGUGACACCAUGCAUCAUUGUAUGUGGAACAUCUUGCUAUGCCUCAAGACAGUUCAUGCUAAGUGUAGAUGGUAAAGUCGUGAAUGACCACAUCCCCAACUUCAUCUCUGCAAUCUGUUCAAUGUUUGGAUCUUACUACUGCCUCAAUAUAAAUUAUCCUGUGGAUCUGGGCUCAACACUUGAUUUCCGUCAUAGAGGGGCACAAAAGUUGAAAACAAAGAAGAAAAAGAAGCAGCUGUCGGUGAACCCAAGAGUCCUCAGACUUAUCUCAGAUCUCACUGACCAGGAUUGGCGAGGGACAUGUUAAAGAUCGACCUAUCCAACUGAACUGUUAAGUCUGACCUCUUGCACAUUGCCAGCUGUAUGAAUCGGUAUGAAACACACAACGUACACAAGGGCUGCAACUAAUCAUAAUUUUUAUAAUCACUUAAUCUGUGUAUUAUUAUCUUGAUUAAUUGAUUAUUAAUUGAUUGAUUGGUUUGGUCCAUAAAAUGCCAGACAUGUGGAUCACUGUUCCAAAGUCCCAGGGGACGUCCUCAAAUGUCUUGUGUUCAAAACAAAGAUAUUUAUAUUUUCCUGUAAUAAGAGAACUAAAGAAAUUGAAACACAAACUGACUUGUUUAUGUGACUUUUAUCGUUAAUGAAAGUAGUUGGCAAUUAAUUUAAUAACCCUUGCAGCUCCAGUUAAUUACUGUACGUUAACUGUUAAGUAUUGACAUGUACAGUAUUCUUUUUUUGGUCAACUUAAGGGUUAAAAUCAGCAGGUUUUAGUUUGUGAAAAUUAUGUGAAUUGGCUCAUUGUGCAUUUUAUGUGGAAUUAUUAAUGCCUAUACAUUAGGUGAAUAAUAAAACAUAAGCAGAAAUUUUGUGUAUGUUUUGCCAUUUUUGAUAGAGGCUGUACUUUCAGUUAAGCCAACCAAUUUGAAGCUAUCACUUGAGCAAUAAGACCAAGGCAACAGCAAUUUAGUGUAUUUUUUAUUUCUUUACUUUUUGCCAUUUUGGUUAGAAGCUGCUUUUUUAGU